CUUCUUUGUGUAAAUUAGGCAAGUUAGGCAAGUUAGGAAAUUAGGCAAGUUAGGCUAGUUAGGCAAGUUAGGCUUAUGUUCUCUUUCUUUUCCUAUAUAAUGUUUCAUCUUGUAAUUGUUUUGAUAUGAAAUACACAUAAAAAUUUCAACAGGUUGUGACUCUACAAAAAUAAGAAUUCUUGCAAAGAAAGCAAAGUGACAUUUUAUUCUUCUUUUCAUGGAGCGCUUUUAUCCACAAUCACCCGGUAAACCUUUCAAAGAAAGGUUGUGACUCUACAAAAAUAAGAAUUGUUGCAAAGAAAGCAAAGUGCCAUUUUAUUCUUCUUUUCAUGGAGCGCUUUCUCCCCCCAUCCGACUAGAGUUAUUUUUCAGUUAUUAUACUUCUCUCACAUAUCAUUUGUGAAAUAAUUUUAACUUCUCCAAUGUAAUAUAUAUUCAAUUAACACAAUAAAUAGGAAAGAAAAAGACAAGCAUCGACAACACAAUAAUAUAAUUUUGGUUGUUAGUGAAAUCAUUGUCUUGUGUACAUGAUUGUCUUUUUCCUUCCUACUAAAUGUGUUUAACUUAACUAGUACAUAGUACAUUACCUUCUAAAGGAAGGUUCAUCGUGUGGUUAUGCACAACCCACCAAGUGAAGGAUGAGUUGCCAUCAUUUGAUUCAUGCAAAAAGAUAUUUGUGGACUCCACAAGUUUUUCUUCUUCCUUUCAUGGACGGUUCACUAUCCUAUUUAACUGAAGCUAUUCUCAAGAUGUUCUUCACCGUCAUGCUGUCUAUUACAUUAGAGAGGCUAAAACCAUUCACAGAGACUAUGAGAGAGAAGAAUAAUAAUUGGAGAAUAGCUUCUGUCGAAUGUGAGAGAGCCCUUCAUGGGAGGAAGAAGAAAAGUUCAUUUUGCUUAGUGAAAGCAGAAAUCAUUCUGUUACUGGUUAUGGUGCAUUUUUCUUUCGUGCACCUUCCAUUCCAAAAUUUCAUUUUCUAAAAACACAAAUCAAAACAUUUGACUUUGGGUGGUUCUUUCCUUCAUCAAGCUCGCCAUUCUCUAUGUCGAACUUUCUUCUCUGCUACCUCACACCUACAUCCCGUAAUUCUCAAUUCACUUGACAAUCAAUCUCUUUCUCUUCUUCGGUAUUCCCCAAUAUCAGCAUGUCGUCAUAUAUCAACCAUUGGUACACUUUUCCUUAUUUUUUUCUCCUGCUUUCAUUUGGUACAUAUAUACUUUUUCACUCGUAUGCAUCAUCAACUUGCACCUUUUGUCUAGAUCAAACUAAAAAGGAGAGAAAAAGGAGAGAGAUUUCACCACACGUGGAGAGAUGACGUCAUGCUGAUAGUGGUGGAGGAGGAGAAGCUGAUCGGGUGUUCGAGCGUUCAGUGAAAUGUAAAUUAGGGACUUCAGGUACGAGGCAACGAGGACGUUUAGGAGAAAAUUUUCAUUAUGACAGGAAUACGGAUGGUACACUACUACAUGUGUUUUUGAAAAUUUUUAUUUUUUAAGUUAAACUUUUUAACACGCAUAUUCUACUAUUUGUAUAGUGACAUGCGAUGUGCCGCUUCGAGUAUUGGUCACACUGAAAAAUCUCUCGGAGAUUUGGGGUGACAAAACUAAAAGUCUAAAAUAUAUACAUAUAUAAAACUAAAUAAAUAAUAAUUUCGAAUCCCAACCUUGACAGCAGCCUUCCAUAUUUUCUAGACUUGGCAGAGAGAUUGAACAAAUUUUUUUUAUUGGAAGCUAACUUAUAAAAUUUUCGUUCGGAUCCAUCCCUCUGCCAAAGUCUUUAUCCCUUCCACGAUAGGGCGGAUUGCUGGCAAGUUUACAAAAGAAGCGUUGUUGCAAGCGUGGGAGUCUAAAUUAUAUUUCUUUAUCUAGGUUUACAUAUGUUUUAGUUUUGCCUCACUAGCAUCAAUUUCUUUGUCUCGUACAAUCUCUCCAAAAAGGAACGCCUGGCUACAGCUUUAUAAACUCGUUUUCUCUAACAAACUUUGGAAUUAUGUUUUCCUUUCCAAAUUAAGUUACAAACCAUGUAUAAUUGGAUUGGAUAUGGUCACAUAGUAAAGACUUUGGAUGUUCAAUUUUGUUAGGUAUUUAAUGAAAUUUGGAGAGUUAUUAUUUCUUGUAGCGAAUAAAAUAUCAAAAAAAUUGGAUCGAGCUCUGCUGAGUAAAGCAAUUUAACCUUUGAAGUGAUCUCAAAUAUUCAUUUGUAUAAUGCUAUUAUGUAUGGUUUGAAAAUUUUAAGAAAGCUAGACUGCCAAUUAUUUUUCACGUGAUAGUGGUGGAGGAGGUCAAAUGACAAUGACAAAUAAUUAAGUGUAUGUGAGUAUACACGAAAGUUAUAGUGGUGAACAAAAAUUCUUCAAAAAACGCUCCUUUAUAUUUCUUGGCUCUAUUUGUUAAAAAAUAUAUAUAUUUUUUCGCACUCUAUUAACAAUAUACUGAUUUUUAUAGCAUUUACGCACACCAUGUAACUUAUUAAAAUAUUAAAACUUACAUGAAAUAACAAAAAAAAAAAAAAAAAAACAACUGGUGAUUUUUUUUCUCAGAGUUUAAUUUUUUUUAAAGCUAGUUUCCUGUCGCUUUUAGCCGACGACAUUGGUCAUCUGUGUCAAAUAAUUUGAAAUAUUUAGGCGGGAAUUUUCCCGCUUGUUUUACAUGCGGAAAUGGAUUGGGAAGAGGAAUGUCAGGUGGGUCAGAGGUGGUGUCGGUUGUAGCCGACGGGACAAUGAAUUGGGAAGAGGGAUGUCAGGUGUGUUAAAUGUGGCAUCGGUUAUAGCCGACAGGAUAGUGACUUGGGAAUAGGGAUGUUAGUUAGAGGUGGUGUUGGUUGUAGCCGACGGGGUAGUGGAUUGGGAAAAGGGAUGUCAGGUGUGUCAGAUGUAGUGUCGGUUUUUCGCGACGCCGGGUUCAUUUGAUUCGAUGUCAGGUACAUUUUCUGGCGAUGUUAACCGACGGCAGCUUUUCAUCCAUAUUUAAACCCAUUUCUUCCCACAUUUCAUCCCUGCAUCCCUUUUCCUCUGCGUUUAAUUCCUUCUUCCCUGUGCGUCCAUUUCUUCCCCAAUUUCAGUUCUCUCUUUCUCCUUCUUCUUCGAGUAGCUUUUGUCAUGGAUGAACAUAUGGAAGAUCAACAUUCUGAGAAACACCAAUUCGAAGAGGAAGAGUUCGAAACUAGUUCAUUUUUAAAUUAUUAUUAUUAUUAUUAUUAUAUUCAGUUUGUGUUUUGUAUUUUGACUAAUAUUAUGCUUAAAUUGAAAAUUGGUUUUUAUUUCUUGGUUUUUAAUUGUUUGUUCUAUAUUAAUAAGGAACAUCUCAAUGAAGAACUCGCGGACUUGCAAUUCCCAAAUGGAUAGGACAACAACCUUGUUCAUUUGAUUCGUCUGGCAAAUGCAUUAGUGAAAAUUCUAGUGCUUUUCCAAAACAUGUAGCAUCAGAGGUUAGAGAUCCUACAAAUCUUCUGUUGACGAGGGAUUGGCGCUUGGUUAAGGAACAAGACAAGGAAGUGUUGUGGAAUAGAAUAAAGGGAAGUGUUAUUUUUCAAGAAGAAGAUUAAAAAAUAUUAUUUUGGAAGAGCAGCUGAGGAGCACUACAACCUUCCUCCUAAUGUGGAUUAUACACAGUGGGCAAAGUUGGUGAGAUAUUGGGAUAAAGAAAGAACAAGGGUAAACCUUUUAUGAUUUAUAUUGUAAUACCUUUAAAUUUGUUUAAUAAAUUCUCUUAUUUUUCAA